rnacentral:rRNA from 1 species
GAUGAACGCUGGCGGCGUGCCUAAUACAUGCAAGUAGAACGGUUAAGGAGGAGUUUGCUCUGCUGGAUGAGUUGCGAACGGGUGAGUAACGCGGAAGUAACCUGCCUGGUAGCGGGGGAUAACUAGAGGAAGCGAUAGCUAAUACCGCAUUACAGCAGGUAUUGGAGGAUAACCGUUGAAAAGCGGCAACUGAUCCACUACCAGAUGGACCUGCGUUGUAUUAGGUAGUUGGGGAGGUAACGGCGCAACAAGGCGACGAUACAUAGACGAGCCGAGAGGGUGGUCGGCCAACAUGGGACUGGGAAACGGCCCAGACCCCCACGGGAGGCAGCCGGAGGGAAACUUCGGCCAUGGAGGGAAGUCUGACCGCGGCACGCCGGGGGAUGGAAGAAGGUUUUCGGAUCGUAAAGGUCUGUUGUAAGGGAAGAAAGAGUGUUAGAGUGGAACGUUCCCACUGUGACGUUACCUUCACAGAAAGCGCCGGCUAACUACGUG